UACGAAGGGGACUAGCGUUGUUCGGAAUCACUGGGCGUAAAGCGCACGUAGGCGGAUAUGUCAGUCAGGGGUGGAAUCCCGGGGCUCAACCUCGGAACUGCCUUUGAUACAGCAUAUCUUGAGUCCGAUAGAGGUGGGUGGAAUUCCUAGUGUAGAGGUGAAAUUCGUAGAUAUUAGGAAGAACACCGGUGGCGAAGGCGGCCCACUGGAUCGGUACUGACGCUGAGGUGCGAAAGCGUGGGGAGCAAACAGG
rnacentral:rRNA from 1 species